AUUGAACGCUGGCGGCGUGCUUAACACAUGCAAGUCGAGCGGAGCGGCGAACGGGUGAGUAACGCGUGAGUAACUGCCCCCCUCUCUGGGAUAACAGUUGGAAACGGCUGCUAAUACCGGAUAGUGGGGGAUGACUCGCGUCCUAUCAGCUUGUUGGUGGGGUAGUGGCCUACCAAGGCGACGACGGGUAGCCGGCCUGAGGGGGCGACCGGCCACAUUGGGCUGAGGUAGGACCGAAAAUCCUACGGGGGGCAGUAGUGGUGAAUAUUGCACAAUGGGGAAAACCCUCCUGCAUCAACGCCGCGUGCGGGAUGACGGCCUUCGGGUUGUAAACCGCUUUCAGCCAUGACGCGGUAGUGGCAGAAGAAGCACCGGCUAACUACGUGCCAGCAGCCGCGGUAAUAC
rnacentral:rRNA from 1 species